UGGGGAAUAUUGGACAAUGGGCGCAAGCCUGAUCCAGCCAUGCCGCGUGAGUGAUGAAGGCCCUAGGGUUGUAAAGCUCUUUCACCGGUGAAGAUAAUGACGGUAACCGGAGAAGAAGCCCCGGCUAACUUCGUGCCAGCAGCCGCGGUAAUACGAAGGGGGCUAGCGUUGUUCGGAUUUACUGGGCGUAAAGCGCACGUAGGCGGACUUUUAAGUCAGGGGUGAAAUCCCGGGGCUCAACCCCGGAACUGCCUUUGAUACUGGAAGUCUUGAGUAUGGUAGAGGUGAGUGGAAUUCCGAGGGUAGAGGUGAAAUUCGUAGAUAUUCGGAGGAAAACCAGUGGCGAAGGCGGCUCACUGGCUCGAUACUGACGCUGAGGUGCGAAAGCGUGGGGAGCAAACAGG
rnacentral:rRNA from 1 species